rnacentral:lncRNA from 1 species
UGCCUCGUGCACCGUAAAUGCGGAGCCCGCACGAUCAGUGUCUCUUUUCUUUGUGCCAGAAGUGGAAAAUAACAUAAGAAGGUGAAGAGGCAGGUAGAACCACUUCACAGGUAGCAGGUACACAGAGCUAAAUUGGAACUUCUGCCCUGAGCUGCUAUUAUUAGCAUUAUUAUUAUUAUUUGGGGGAUGAAAUUUAAGAUACACCAAGUUUUCUUUUCUUUUCUUUUCUUUUUUUUUUUACCCCUAGCCUGGGAACCUCCAUAUGCCGAGGGAGCGGCCCAAGAAAUGGCAAAAAGACCAAAAAAAUAAAUAAAUAAAUAAAUAAAUAAAUAAAUAAAAAUAAACAAAAUAAAAUAAAAUAAAAAUAGUUAAAUACUAAAUUUUAUGUUAUCUGUAUUUCAGCACAGUUUUAAAAAAACCAAUUGUUUGCCUUUGCUUCUCCCUCCCUGGGUGAAUUGUCGUUCAGCACAACCGGAUGACUUCUUUGAAGCUUGGUUUAUGCGGUUAUAACCUUUUUUUCUCUCGGCCACUCCCAAGGCAUAUGGAAAUUGCUGGGGCAGGAUCAGAUUUGAGCUGCAACUGUGACCUACUCCACAGCUGCAGCAACACUGGAUCCUUAACCCACUGGGCUGGGCUGGGAAUUGAAUCCAUGCCACCCCAGAGACAAUGCCAGGUCUGUGACCUGCUGCACCACAGUGGGUACUCCUGUGCUUUUCUAACUUCAUAGCCAGCCAUAACAACUCUAGGCGCUUUCAGAAGGGGCCCAUCAUUACGGAUUUGUGGACAUUUUAAUUAUUGCCUAAGAGCUCUGUGUUAUAUAGAUAGUCCGCUGCUGACAGAAGAAACUUCCUAGAUAAUCUGCAAAAGGCCUCGUGCUUCUCUUUUCUUCUCAGUGUUGUUUUUGCACAAGGCUCACUUCUGAACAUGUGGGAGAUAAGGGCUUCCUUUAUGUGGCGGCUGGAAGGCUGGAGUGUCCACCGCUUAUGUCUUGGGUUUGUGUGUCCCAUCCCAACAGCUGAUCUCAGCAGCUUCUUUUUCCUUGCAGUGCCAGAUCCGCUUUGGAGGGAGAAAAGAGAUCGCCUCGGAUUCUGACAGCAGGUAAAUAGGUAGCUUCUGACCCCUCUUACCAUCAAGACCAAAAAGGUGACCGGAGAUUGACCAGCUUCUGUAUUCUGCCGAUUCCUUUUGGCUUACCUGUAACCGCUGCUUGUUUCAAGUGUGUCCAGCUUCCAUGAUUCUCCUUCUAGAAGUCUCUCCUGCGGGGAUUACUUGACAUGCCUUUCCUCAUAAAGUUAUUUUCAUGUGAUGUAUCAUGGUGAAAACUCAGACAUGCUCAACCAUUGGGAAGCGGUUAACACAGUGUGAAGCCUCGGUAGAAAGGAACGUGAUCUAGCCGUUAAAUUGGUGUCCGUACAAAAUUUGUUUAAAGUAGAAAACUGUGUAUAUAGUAAUUUAAAGAUAAUAUGUUUAAUAAAAAUACAAAGAGCAGGGUACGCAAUGAAUACAGAUGCAGAGUGGUCCUACCCAUGUGAAACAGCUCUGGCAGAAAACAUACCAAAAUGUGAAUAGAGGCAAUGCUGAGGUUAAGACUGUUGGGAAUCUUUAUACUUUCUGACUUUUUUCCCCAUAUUAUAUGCUGUGAUUGUAUGUCCCUUCU